AGUACUCGCUCCGUUCUAUUUUCCACGCUCAAUUUUAGUCGUCCAUCUUAUUUAAAAUUUUUUUAAUUAGUAUUUUUAUUGUUAUAAGAUAAUAAAACAUAAAUAGUACUUUAUACGUGACUUAUGUUUUUAAUUUUUUUAAAAAAAUUAAAAAUAAAGAGAAUGAUUAAAAUUGGAAAUGAAAAUUCAUAGCUGCAGUUAAA
rfam:Oryza barthii chromosome 8, whole genome shotgun sequence.